rfam:Strongylocentrotus purpuratus Contig25031_fixed, whole genome shotgun sequence.
GGUGUGGUGACUCAGUGGUUAGAGCGCCCGUCUCACGAACGGGAGGUCGUGGGUUCGAACCCCGGCCGAGUCA